UUGACUUCGAAAUGAGAAUCGUUAUGAUUAUCACAACUGGUCGCGAGACUGGUCGGUAACCUGAAAGACCUUGGUUCGGACUCUCAGAUUAUCUCCUCAUCAGGCUAAUCACGGUUUUUGACCCGGCACUUUGCCGGGUCUUUUUUUG
rnacentral:sRNA from 1 species